UACGAAGGGGGCGAGCGUUGUCCGGAAUUAUUGGGCGGAAAGGGCUCGUAGGCGGUUUGUCGCGUCGGGAGUGAAAACUCAGGGCUUAACCCUGAGCCUGCUUCCGAUACGGGCAGACUAGAGGUAUGCAGGGGAGAACGGAAUUCCUGGUGUAGCGGUGAAAUGCGCAGAUAUCAGGAGGAACACCGGUGGCGAAGGCGGUUCUCUGGGCAUUACCUGACGCUGAGGAGCGAAAGUGUGGGGAGCGAACAGG
rnacentral:rRNA from 1 species